UGCCAUUCUUAACGGGAUGGCUUUUCAUUACUGUAAAGAGCUUUUGGAAUAAGGGCUGGGCAAGACCGGUGCCAGCCGCCGCGGUAACACCGGCAGCUCUAGUGGUAGCAGUUUUUAUUGGGCCUAAAGCGUCCGUAGCCGGUUUAAUAAGUCUCUGGUGAAAUCCUGUAAUCCGCUGUCAGGCUUUCAGGAGAUACUGUUUGGCUUGAGGCCGGGAGAGGUGAGAGGUACUUUGGGGGUAGGGGUGAAAUCUUGUAAUCCA
rnacentral:rRNA from 1 species